rnacentral:lncRNA from 1 species
AAUUAACUUAGUUUAAUUAAGUUACAAAAAAAAAAAACUCUUAAUUUAAUUACAGAAAAAAAAAUUUCAAAUUUUUUAUUCAAUUAACUUAAUUUUGUAUCUUUUUAUUCUUAUAUUUUUAAGAAAUAUGAGUAUUUAUGUUAAUAACAUAAAUUUUGAGAAAAAAAAAUUCAAUUUAAUAGCCGAAUUUUUUAUUUCGAAUUUUUAAUAGAUGAACGUAUAAUAUCCGUAUAAAUCACAUAUCCGAAUAAUUGACGAAUCUAUUUUUUUAGCCGUAUUUUUUAACGAAUUUAAAUAUUAGAAGAUGAAUUUUAUCCCAAUUAUAUUUGUACCGAAUUUUUGCCGAAUCCGAAUUAACUGACUAUGGUCUAAACUCUAAACUCUAAC